UUCUCAAGUGCUGAUUCCCGGGUAUUGGUUAAGUGAAAGAAACGCGUGUUGUAUUUGUGUGCGAUCACAAGGAAAACACGUGUCUCAUGUUUCUUUCAGAUUUAGUGACAAACACCGAGGAUGUCAGUCUGGUCAGACAGAAGGACUGAGUGUAUUCAGAGAUAUCUGUAUUGGACAGGGAAAUAAAUAAUAAGGAUCAGGAACAGGGUGAAGGAGGGGGAGGUGGGAAGCGUGGAGGCGGAGGGAAAAAAGCCCUGUGCUCGCCUCUAAUGCUGACGAAAGCGCCUUAGCCCUCCCAGUUACCAUAGAGACCGUCAUGAGCAGCUGCCAGUGAAAGCGAGAGCAAGAGAAAAGAACACCAACAGGCGAAAACAGGAAGCAGAAGAACAGAAAGAGAGAGAGAGAGAGGGAGAGUGAGAGAGAGAGUCAGACAGAGAGAUUGAAGGAGUAAAGGACAAUAAAAGGAGUUCAAAAGAAAAGCGAAGCAGCCAUAAUGGAAAUACAGAUCAGCUGCAGUGAAACAGCACCGUGCGACCCUCAGCCAUCUGUGAAGAUCAACAAAGCUGCUUUCAAACUGUUCGGAAAGCGCAGGUCCGGCAGCGGUAUGCCGAGCAUCUUCUCCAUAAGGAACAAAGGGGACACAACUGACAAGGAGCUCGUUAGAAGCAAAACCCACGACGGCUUAACGACGACAGAUGAGCUCUCCGAGUCAGAGGGACACAGGAAAGAAGAGUCGGCCAGCAGCGACCGUCUGAACAGUGCGGCUGCUGCCGCUCCUGUGUGCAGUGCCAUCACCAAGUCUUUCAGCUUCUUCUCCUUGCUGCGGCGCAAUAGCUCUCGAAUUAGUGACAGGGCAGCUACUCUGGGGCACAGAGGUCGUGGGCUGAAGGGGCUGUUCAACAGCAUUCGCUGGCGCCGUAAACCUCCAUCACGUGACGAUUCAAUCGAAAUCCAGGACAUCCUCAAAGAAACGAAAGGAGUCGAUCUGAUCUUGUCCUGCAGCUCCAAAAAUGUGGAUGUAGAAAAUGUGCCACUUACGCUGGAGCCUGAGAUACAAAUAUUACAAGACAAUGCAGUAGAACCAUCUUUGCAGGAUAGCAAUGAAGAACGUGCAAGGAGCUCGUCUGUCCUGGUGCAACCAGUUGCUGAGGAGUCUCCAGCUUCAUCUCCAAUCACUGUUCAAACACAGGAAUGUUUCCAAGUCAAGCAUGAAAGUCCAGACAACUGUGCUUCUAUGACACCUCCACAAGAUCACAGCUUGGCAGACCAACCAUCUGAGGAUCGGCUCUGCUCCAUGUUCACCGACGUCACUUCGCUCAAGAGCUUCGAUUCAUUAACCGGUUGUGGAGACAUCAUUGCUGACAGGGAAGAGGACUCUGGGAACGGAGGCAAUGCCACCAGCAGUGGAACGGGAAGCAGCAACGGGGUACUCCAAGUAAGUGUUGAGAGAUGUUCCCCAGCCAAACCUCCCCUUCCUCCACAAGUGACUGGUCUUAUAUCAAUGUCUGCAUACACGCCGUCCCGUCAUCGAAUGUGUCCUCCACCUAAGACUCCACAGGGCAGCGGGAUAGUGGCCUACAUGGGUGGAGGAGAGGAAAUGGCCAGUCCAGAAGGUGUGGAUGAUGCAGAUAUGCAAGGACUUUGGCACAUGCUUCCUCAGAAAGGGGAGGGUUCCCCGGCUCUACCUCACCUGUCAACUCGACAGGACAAAAGACCUCAGGUAAAAAGUCUGGGGCUUAGCAAGAUUCCUGUGAGUGGAAACAGCAGAGCAGGCAAACAACAGCAGCAGCAACUCAGUCAUCCUUCUUCUCCACCGAUUGAUAAAGAUCUUCAGGACGUCCCACCCAGUGACGAGGGUUACUGGGACUCUCCAACACCCGGACCAGAAGAUGAGGACAGCGGCUUCCUGCAGCGUGACGGUCUUCUGAGGGACAGCUGCUCAGGAGAUGCUCUUUAUGACCUCUACGACCUCGACAGUCCUGGCACUGUCGGCUCAGAUGACGACGACACGAUUUCACCAACACCUUCUACGGGGAACCUGAAAAUGACCCCACCUUUUCAGAAACCGUCCUGUUCUUCCUUUAGUUCCAUAAGGGGCAGCACAAGUCUUCCACGAGAGUCCAAGAUUCCCAUCAGUGUGAGACAAAAGCCGCCGUCUCACUCUUCCAGCCAAGGGGCGUUGUCCUCUCCGGUCAGUCCGACCUCGAACGAGUCUCCUAAUGCUUCCUCGAAGAGUAACACGCCACCUCGCACCCGCAUCCCCGUCUCCAAGGUCCCAGUUCGCUCCUCAGGCAACAAAAACACAAAGGUAUCACAAAACAGGAAGUAGAGAUGAUCGUGAAGCCAAAAUGACUGUAUUUUGAUAUUAACAAAUCCCACGUUGCACCUUGAACUUUUUCUGCACUGAGAGAUCGUCUUCUUCUCCCUGAACCAGCACGAAACAACAGCAAAGACACUUCUCAAAAACAAACACAAAACCUCGUGGACACACAGCUGCAAACGUCGUCACUCUCUGGGAACGAAAAGAAAAACAUAGCCAAGCGCUUCACAUACACUGGGAAAAAACCUCACCCUCGAAUCUCCUCGAUCACGAUCAGGGAACACAGUCUUCAUUUGAGAUGCUUCUUUUUUUUUUAAAUGAAAACAAAAAAAACAAUCAAGAUCUUUCCUAAUUUUUUUUUAUAUAUAUAAUGAGCUCUUCCUGACAUCUUUCUUACUCUUUUUUUCUAUGAGAAAAGCUUCACUGUGGACAAACAUUAUUCUGGGAAUUUCAAAUUAAGUAUCUUAUCAAAACAGAAAAUCUUAAUUCCUACGCUGGAGAUCUGAAUGUAGCAUUCCACAACAAAACUGUCCAUACGCAUGACAUGACAGAGGGGGAGGGGGAGGGGGAGAGACAAGCCUGAGGGGUCAAAGGUCAACCAUCUAGUCGUCUAGACGCUGCAGUCGUCUAGACCCUUCUGGAGAUAUGACUUUUUUUGUGAAAAGAGCAUCAGGGUCUGACCAAACGUCUGACGACGUCAGCAUCAGUAACUGAAUGUUUUUUCUACUGUUGUUUUUAGAAUCAGUCCCGAAACUCGUCUGUUUUCACUCGUAACUUUCCUAAUGAUUCCUUUUUGAUUCUUUUUUAAAAUUCUGUUUCACUAAUUUAUGAAUAAAAAACACGCUGU